GUACAUAAACUCCCCCACAGGACAGGCUUCGCCUAGCGUGGGGGUCAGAACUGUUGGUUGCUGUAAAAUGUUGUUUAUGGAAAUAACUUUUUAUGAUUAUUAUU